rnacentral:rRNA from 1 species
UACAGAGGUCCCAAGCGUUGUUCGGAUUCACUGGGCGUAAAGGGUGCGUAGGUGGUCGGGUAAGUCUGAUGUGAAAUCUUCGAGCUCAACUCGAAAAUGGCAUUGGAUACUAUUCGGCUGGAGGGUUGGAAGGGGGACUGGAAUUCUCGGUGUAGCAGUGAAAUGCGUAGAUAUCGAGAGGAACACCGGUGGCGAAGGCGAGUCCCUGGCAAUUCCUGACACUGAAGGCACGAAAGCUAGGGGAGCAAACAGG